GACACCCUGAUGCCUUUUCAGGGCCAGAGUGGGUGACAAUCUGUAUUUUCUUGCUAUUAAUUUUAAGCUGUAUUUCAUUCUGACUUUGAACAAGCCUCGCAGCAUAGCUGACAAGCUUGAAGUCCUCACUUCCAGUCAGGCAUUGAAUUCUGCUGAAUUGUUUUUUCUUGAGGCAAAAGUAGCAAAUGGGGUUGCAAGACAGCUGGACUUGGAAAGCAGCCAGUCAUUAAUUUUGUUUUGUUUGAGAAAACCUAAAGGACAUUAUCUUACUGAAGAUGAAGCAAACUUCAUAUGGGAAAGGAAUAACUUUGAGUGCUUUGCCAGUUUGACAGCAGCGUUUACUGGUAAAGGGAUCAGCUCUGAGUUCUGCUCAGUGCUCUCCUACAACACAAAAUAUCCCCUUCCAAAACUGCAACAGCCCUGUGAAACUGCCAGCUGUGGGGAAGGAGAACCAGAGAUCACCAAGUCUUACUGUUGGAACAGAAAUGAAGACUAUUCCUGUCUAAACUUACAGCAGCCCAGUAGAGCCAGAGAAAGAUGUGGGAAAUCAGAUUAAAUUCCACCUUUUGAGACUCCAUCCAUCAGCAUUCUGGUUUAGAAGCCCGUGAGUUAGAACACUGAACAAAAAGAGUGUUCCUCUCAGAGAAGAAACGAUUGCCAAAAUGUCCAUGUAGAAAA